UUCGGUGAAUUGAGUUUUGAUGAGGCAGGCACGGUGGCGUUAGGUAACACAAGGUGUGAUGGGUUUUGAUAAGGCAGGUGCGGUGUAUUCAGGUUAGAUGGGGCAUGGCGGGGCGAACUUAGGCAGGUAAUUUAUAGGAGGUUAUAUGGAUGAGUUUGAAGCAGAACGUGCGUGGGCAGAGAAGCAGUUCUUAACUGAGUUGCGGGAUGAUUUUGCUAUGGCAGCAAUUACAGGGAUUCUUGCAGGUAAGUGGGGGCAGAUGCCGCAGUACAAACCCGAAGAAGCGUUCGCUGAUUUUGCGUAUCGUGUAGCAGAUGAAAUGAUUAAACAGAGAGGUAAGCAUGUCGAUAAUGAAUCAAAACAAGAUAGCUGAAACACAACCCCAACCUAUCUUCUACCUACACGGUGUUCCUUAUCUUCCUGAUUACAGCGAGAAGCAUCGUUGGAUUGGGCCUGGAAAUAAACAUACGAGGACGGUGUACAAAACAAUAGAGUUGGCAGAGGCAGGUGCAAGGUUAAGUGUUAUGUCGUUAUGGGCAAGAUCAUGGACUGAAGAAGAGGGGAGUGAAAUAGUACCUGAAACCGAAAGUCUACAAGCAGUGGAAGUGCCAUGGGCAACCGGCACGACCGCGUACCUUUUGCAUAAUGGGUCGGCGAGUUACCCUACGUGGCAAGCUUAACUCAUUUGAGGGAGGCGAAGCGAAAGCGAGUCUGAACAGGGCGUCAAGUCGCGUGGGGUAGACCCGAAACGGUGUGAUCUACCCAUGGCCAGGUUGAAGCGCGAGUAAAAUCGCGUGGAGGACCGAACCCACCGGUGUUGAAAAACCGGGGGAUGAGCUGUGGGUGGGGGUGAAAGGCCAAUCAAACACCGAAAUGGCUGGUUCUCCCCGAAAUAUAUCUAGGUAUAGCGUCGCGUAUCACCCCCGGAGGUAGAGCACUGAAUGGGCUAGGGGCCUUACCAGGUUACCAAACCCAAUCAAACUCCGAAUGCCGGGAAGUGCAGCGCGGCAGUCAGUCAUCGGGUGAUAACGUCCGGUGUCAAAAGGGAAAGAACCCAGACCGCCAGCUAAGGUCCCCAAGCACAGGCUAAGUGGUAAACGUUGUCGGGUCGCACAAACAGCCAGGAGGUUGGCUUAGAAGCAGCCAUCCUUUAAAGAAAGCGUAAUAGCUCACUGGUCGAGUGAACCGGCGCGGAAAAUACAACGGGGCUCAAGCCUGUCACCGAAGCUGCGGACUCUUUCGAGAGUGGUAGGGGAGCGUUCCAGUGGCGGUGAAGCAUGAUCGAUAAGAACAUGUGGAGCUCCUGGAAGUGAGAAUGCCGAUAUGAGUAACGAUAAAACGGGUGAGAAACCCGUUCGCCGUAAGCCCAAGGUUUCCCGGGCCAGGAUUAUCCUCCCGGGGUUAGUCGGGUCCUAAGCCGAGGCCGUUUGGCGUAGGCGAUGGGAAUCAGGUUAAUAUUCCUGAACCGGCUUGGAUGUGUCGAUCUCAGUGGGGACGGAGAAGGUUAGCUCAGCCAACUGUUGGAUAUGUUGGUUCAAGCCCGUAGGUGGAGCCCUCAGGACCGUUAUCGGACAAACGGGGGCUCAUACGCCGAGAGGUGAUGAGAGGUGGCGCACCUUGGUGCAACGCCGAACUGAGUAAUUCCAGGCUUCCUAGAAAAGCCACGGAGGGAGCAUUCAGGCUGUCCGUACCGCAAACCGACUCAGGUGGGCGGGAAGAGUAUUCCAAGGCGCUUGAGAGAACCCUGGUUAAGGAACUAGGCAAAUUGACACCGUAACUUUGGGAUAAGGUGUGCCUCUCGGGUCAACGGCCUUGUGCCGGUAGCCCUCUGAGGUCGCAGAGCAUAGGGGGUAGCGACUGUUUAUUAAAAACAUAGGUCUGUGUAAAGUCGUUGAGACGACGUAUACGGACUGACGCCUGUCCGGUGCUGGAAGGUCAAGAGGAGAUGUCAGCGUAAGCGAAGCAUUGAAUCGAAGCCCCGGUAAACGGCGGCCGUAACUAUAACGGUCCUAAGGUAGCGAAAUUCCUUGUCGGGUAAGUUCCGACCUGCACGAAUGGCGUAACGAUGGCCACACUGUCUCCUCCGCAGACUCAGC
rnacentral:rRNA from 1 species